rnacentral:lncRNA from 1 species
GGUUCAUUGCGAUCCCAAGGUUCACUGCGGUUUUCCACAAGCCUGUUUCUGCCUAUCACCAUGAGUGAUUCCUUGAUACUCAGAUUGAUAAUCAAGAUCUCAAUUAUAACCUCAAGUCUUGAUGACAGCUUGAUGAUCUCCAAGAAGCACCACCAUGUAAAGAAGGCCAAGACCACUCUGGAAUCAGUCAAGGCUCAUAGGAACUCCAAUCUUCCCAACUGUGAGAGGGCCUUGCUCCAGUGGCUGUUGGUGAAAUGGAGUGAGGCAUACCAGGAUAUGUGUGGUUUUACUCUUGGGAAGGAGGUUGAACAGUUCAAUAUUUCUUCUAUAGGAUUGGAGUGACCAGACAUGCUACUGUAACUCUCAUGGUCAUGUGCUGGAAUUAGCAGAUAUUCAACAAUUUGGCCAUCUCGCUGACCUGUUGAUUUCAGAAGACUGCAACAGCUCUGCAAAGCAAGUUGCAAAACACAAUCCAUGGAACUGGCAGUGACCGGAAACCAAUUGGAAGACUUUGGUCUGUGAUGUAGAGGAGAGGGCAGGUGAGGAAAUUAUUAUUAAUAUUACAUGUAGUCAUGAAAUAUUGUAAGUGUUACUAUUAUUGUUAUUAUUUUUUUUUUCAGUAGCAGACGCAAAGACAACAAAAAACAGAAGUGAUAUGGAUGUCUUCGUCAUAUGGCAUGACUCUGUCGAUCCAGCAACAAAGAGGAGGGUGUUCAACAUCAUCCUGCUAGUCAGGAUUCUUCAGGAGAAGCAGCGGAUUAUUGUGGCAGAGAUGGCCAACCACUAUAAAUAAUAAUAUAAAAAGUACUGGUAUGUAUUUGUAUUUUUUGGCACAUAAAGCAUAAGGUUACCCAGUCCAAAGGAUACUAAUAUAUUUUAAUGUUGUUGUGUUCUUCUUUUAAGAUUCGGCAUGUGGCCUAAAUGAAGAGGGGUUAAAAGGUCUGUUGAUCAUCCUUCUCAGAAAGCAGCAAAAUAACUGAGAAAUAAACAACAAUACAAUGGUGCAAUCUAGAGACCUGCAAGGUACCUGCAAGUUUUGGCUGGAGCAGUGAACAGACAUUUUUUUUAAAUAAAGCUCCAGCUGAUGAGUAUGACAUUGACUGUGGAUUUUCUUUUACUGUAAUCCAGAAGAGGAUGACCUUAACCCUGAAUCUAAAGCAUGUAAUAAAAUCUGUAAAAAAAUAAAUUUUCAUCAUCUAUAACCAAA